rfam:Bergeyella zoohelcum ATCC 43767 genomic scaffold supercont1.1, whole genome shotgun sequence.
GGGGCUGACCGGUUUCGACAGCAAGACCAAUGGGUAAGUAAGCAUGCAGAGAACCGUAGCGCGAUCUCUUUAAUCCCUUGCUACAAGAAUUUAACUGGCAACGAAGAGUAUGCUCUUGCUGCUUAAUCUGAAGUAUAGUAAGAUAAGCGUUUUUCCCGAAGUACAGUAAGGAAACAAGAUGUCUCACGGAAGCUCCGUUCUGCGGCGUCCGAGUAUGAGGCAUGGGAAAUGCAGAAAUAAGCCUUUGAACGCUUCGGUCAAAGGACGAAAAACUUUAGAAGAUAAGUUGGAAAUUGGGUGUUUGUUCUCUGUUUUCAAUCGAAAAUUAAAAACAAAAUAAGCAUGUAGAAAGCUUGCGUAUUGCUUGUUUGGACGAGGGUUCGAAUCCCUCCAGCUCCACAA